AGUAUGCUCCCUCUAAUUAUCUCUCCCUCUCCCUCUCCUCCCGGAGGACCUGAGCCUUUGGGACCAUGCCUCAGGACUACCUGACCUGAUGACUCCUUGCAGUCCCCAGUCCACCUGGUCGUGCUGCUGCUCCAGUUUCAACUGUUCUGCCUGCGGCUAUGAAACCCUGACAUGUUCACCGGACCUGCUGUUUUCGACUCUCUCUCUCUCUCUCUUUACCGCACCUGCUGUCUCUAACUCUGAAUGAAAAGACAACUGACAUUUACUCCUGAGGUCGGGUUGUAUCAGGGUUUAUACUAUAGAGAUAUCAGCUGUAGCAGGGUUUAUACUGUAGAGAUAUCAGCUAUAGCAGGGUUUAUACUAUAGAGAUAUCAGCUGUAGCAGGGUUUAUACUGUAGAGAUAUCAGCUGUAGCAGGGUUUAUACUGUAGAGAUAUCAGCUGUAGCAGGGUUUAUACUGUAGAGAUAUCAGCUGUAGCAGGGUUUAUACUGUAGAGAUAUCAGCUGUAGCAGGGUUUAUACUGUAGAGAUAUCAGCUGUAGCAGGGUUUAUACUGUAGAGAUAUCAGCUGUAGCAGGGUUUAUACUAUAGAGAUAUCAGCUGUAGCAGGGUUUAUACUGUAGAGAUAUCAGCUGUAGCAGGGUUUAUACUGUAGAGAUAUCAGCUGUAGCAGGGUUUAUACUAUAGAGAUAUCAGCUGUAGCAGGGUUUAUACUGUAGAGAUAUCAGCUGUAGCAGGGUUUAUACUGUAGAGAUAUCAGCUGUAGCAGGGUUUAUACUGUAGAGAUAUCAGCUGUAGCAGGGUUUAUACUGUAGAGAUAUCAGCUGUAGCAGGGUUUAUACUGUAGAGAUAUCAGGUCAGCUGUAGCAGGGUUUAUACUGUAGAGAUAUCAGCUGUAGCAGGGUUUAUACUGUAGAGAUAUCAGCUGUAGCAGGGUUUAUACUGUAGAGAUAUCAGCUGUAGCAGGGUUUAUACUGUAGAGAUAUCAGCUGUAGCAGGGUUUAUACUGUAGAGAUAUCAGCUGUA